rnacentral:rRNA from 1 species
UACGAAGGGGGCUAGCGUUGCUCGGAAUCACUGGGCGUAAAGCGCACGUAGGCGGCUUUUUAAGUCAGGGGUGAAAUCCUGGAGCUCAACUCCAGAACUGCCUUUGAUACUGGCGAUCUCGAGUCCGGGAGAGGUGAGUGGAACUGCGAGUGUAGAGGUGAAAUUCGUAGAUAUCAGGAGGAACACCGGUGGCGAAAGCGGCUCCCUGGCCCGAUACUGACGCUCAUGUACGAAAGCGUGGGGAGCAACAGG